AUGCCAUGUAGUUCACUGCACACUGAUUCAUUUGCUCUAGCCAGAGGAUUCCUUCUCUCACAGGCACAAGCUGAUGGCUCACAUAAGAUCCCGGUGAUGACAGGAGCCUUCAUGGACUCGUCGCCUCACGAUGACUACAGCACGGAUCACUCUCUCUUCAACUCCUCCGCAAGUGUCCACGCCGCCGCUCUGGCUGCUCACAGCCAGCAGGAGGAGCAGCAGCCCUUGUCCCGGGACGCCAUUUGGCUGUGGAUCGCUAUUACUGCCACCAUCGGCAACAUCGUAGUGGUCGGAGUUGUCUACGCCUUUACGUUCUGA
rnacentral:lncRNA from 1 species